GAUGAACGCUGGCGGCGUGCCUAAUACAUGCAAGUCGAGCGAACAGACGAGGAGCUUGCUCCUCUGACGUUAGCGGCGGACGGGUGAGUAACACGUGGAUAACCUACCUAUAAGACUGGGAUAACUUCGGGAAACCGGAGCUAAUACCGGAUAAUAUAUUGAACCGCAUGGUUCAAUAGUGAAAGACGGUUUUGCUGUCACUUAUAGAUGGAUCCGCGCCGCAUUAGCUAGUUGGUAAGGUAACGGCUUACCAAGGCAACGAUGCGUAGCCGACCUGAGAGGGUGAUCGGCCACACGGGAACUGAGACACGGUCCAGACUCCUACGGGAGGCAGCAGUAGGGAAUCUUCCGCAAUGGGCGAAAGCCUGACGGAGCAACGCCGCGUGAGUGAUGAAGGUCUUCGGAUCGUAAAACUCUGUUAUUAGGGAAGAACAAAUGUGUAAGUACCUAUGCACGUCUUGACGGUACCUAAUCAGAAAGCCACGGCUAACUACGUG
rnacentral:rRNA from 1 species